GCGUCAGUCCGGCUAGCUGCGUCCUUCUGAGCUCACUUCCGUCGGUUUGAGUCGGAUCAUUAUUCUUCCAGUCUGCCCGCUUUUGUUCUUCCAUUUCCAUCCAGCCAGCGCUGCUGACAAGAGGGAAUCCGCCGCUUUGGAAAGCACAAAAACGCAAAGCAGCGGUCCGUCCGUCGCCAAAACGCACGGUAGCCACAUGCAAAGCGCAGACUGCGGAACGGAUACACGGCACUCCGUAGUUACAUAAUUGGACUACUUUUUUUUUCUACUGUUGGGGUUUUUUUUCACGUAUUUCUGAGAUUUUUUUCUUCCCUCAAAACUCAAAAUGGAGAACGACGGCAAAUAUCUCCCCGAGCUCCUGGCGGAGAAGGACAGCCUGGACUCGUCGUUUACGCACGCCAUGAAACUUUUAAAUGCAGAAAUCGAGAGAAUCCAGAAAGGAGAGCCCAAAAAGGAGGGAGAAACAUACCUGGACCUUUUCACAACAAAGAACAUCAAACUUAAGGAACGAGUGCUCAUACCUGUUAAACAGUAUCCGAAGUUCAAUUUCGUGGGGAAGAUUCUGGGACCUCAGGGCAACACAAUCAAGCGUCUGCAGGAGGAGACCGGGGCCAAGAUCUCCGUGCUGGGCAAAGGAUCCAUGAGGGACAAAUCCAAGGAGGAGGGGCUGAGGAAAGGCGGCGAACCCAAGUACGCCCACUUGUCCAUGGAGCUGCACGUCUUCAUCGAGGUGUUCGCGCCCGUGCCCGAGGCCUACCUCCGCAUGGCGCACGCCAUGGAGGAAGUCAAGAAGUUCCUGUUUCCCGACAUGAUGGAUGAUAUCUGCCAAGAGCAGUUCAUGGAGAUGAGCUACCUGAACGGAGGCCAGGAGCACGGAGCCCGAGGCCGAGGGGGCCUGCCGGUCAGGGGCCGCGGAGGACCCCCUGCUGGAGCGCCCAGGGGUAGGGGGAUGCCUCCGCGUGGUGGUGUCGCCAGGGGAGGUGUGACUCGAGGCGGCCCAGCCAGAGGUGGGGCGGUGAGGGGGGCACCGUCAGGCCGAGGAGGGCCACCAGCAGCGCCCGCCAGGGGAGCCGCAGCACCCCGAGCCAGGCCCCCAGCCGCCGGACCCCCCCAGAGGAUGGCACCUCCGCCCCCCCACCAGCACGCCCCUGCUGCAAGCGAAGGCUACGAGGACUAUGCCUAUGAUGAGAGCUACACAGAGACGGCCUACGAGUCCUACGACAGCUACUACAGUCAGCCGCAGGCAGAACCAGAGUACUAUGACUACGGACACGGAGAGACAACAGAGUCAUAUGAGUCAUAUGGCCAGGAUGACUGGAACGGGACCCAGCGAUCGGCCCCAGGGAAGGCCCCCCCACCCAGAGCUGCCAAGACGCCUUACAGGGAGCACCCGUACCGACAGUACUGAAGUGGACCCGCCACCCUUAACGUGUCGCCCUGACUACCGCCUGUCUACCACGGCAGCUCGCGCUUUAAGCAGCCCGACAAAAGCACAGCUAUCGGUCACUGAGUACCCGGAGACGGUCAGCUGAAGUGAGACCAUACAAUCCUCAGUUGACGCCGUGCGUAAGAGGCAGCCUCGGCGUGAGGGAGGUGGUCAGACGAAGCGCUCGGUGCGCGCCGGUAAAAGGAGUGGCCCGGGGCCCGGCUCUUGUUCCCGCGGGAGGGGGAGGCUGAAAGGUGGGCCUGCUGCCAAGAGGCCCACAGGACCCAGCCGAUGCACUGUGUGGGCAGAGGAGCCGGCUUCCACUCCCACUGGAACAGGACAAAGACUGCAGCUGGUCAGCUAAGCCGCAUCACUAAAGAGCAUCCACCCAACACCCACCUUUUUUACGUGGACUAUCUUCUGAUCAUGUGCAAUAUUGAAUUACCGUUGUGAUAUCUCCGUGUAAAAUUUUUCAAACAUCGAAGACACUGAAGUCUUGAUGGAUUGUAUGUUGUCGUGCACAUUUUCCCCCCUUCUUCUGACAAAUCUAAUUGUUACAGUAUAAUGUACCAUAAAAUGAGCACUCCUGUUAUAGUAGGCUGUGAAAUUGUUUUUAAUUUCUCUUAACCCUUGAAUUAGAUGUGAAAUGAACUAUCUUUACUUUCUGCAAGGCAAGCUGUAUUCCUCUGUUCAAGGUUUUCGUGCCCCAGAGAGAAUUGUAUGACUCUGCAUUUAAAGUAUGCCAUUCUUUAACAUUCUGCGAGUGUGCUGUUUAGUAUCCAUGCCUUUUUGCCAUGUGAAAUUAGACGCGGCGCUCGUGUGUCAAAGAUGCCUGGAGAGAGCGGAUCUGUAUCUUUUACGGACGGGUCCUCGACACACGCUCACAUGCCCAGCCGCACGCACACACACACACACACACCUUGGCAUAGCAUAGCCUAUGUAGCCCUGAGGAUAUCAAAUGCAAAUGCACUGCCUAUUUGCAUGUACUCACAUGUACCCUCCCUGCAAAUGUGCAAAGCUUUCAUAACCAAUGUUGGCCUGUUCCCCUCGGUUCAGCAUCCAAGUAUGAUAAUUCAGUGAGAUGGAGCUGGGAAAAGAGAUGUGUGUGUGUGUGUGUGUGUGAACGAGAGGGACAGAGGGUGAAGACAGACAUUACCAACUUUGACUUCCACCCCCUAUCCAUCUAGUCUCCGCUGAUUUGAUUCCCUCCCUAUGCCAUUUUCUGCCAUUAUCACUGAUGAUAUUAUCGCUGUCUGCGGUUUUCACUUGCAUUUAGAGGUCAGAUCUGUACUUUCCUAUAUUAAAAACAAAUUUCUCUGUCCCGAUCCACUGGUCAAAGGCAGCAUUAGCCAACUUGGAGGCUCCAUUUACCUUAUUGGAAAAGCUAGCGGCUUAGAGAUAUCGGGUAGAAACCAUCAUUUGAGAUGAGACGUCAACGGGCCAUAUCCAAAGCAGAUCAUUUUUCAAUCUUUAUUUGCCAUUAUGUCUGAAAUAAUGAUUUCUUUGUCUCCUGUAAUCUAAUGGAAGAGAUAAGUGAUGGUGUGGAAGCAAUCUUCUUUGUUUGAAUCAAUGAACUGUCAAGAACAUAAGUGUGGAAAAGAAAGUAAAUGUUACUUUGCAGCGAUCAAUAAAAGUAGAGCUGAAUUUAA